rnacentral:rRNA from 1 species
GACGAACCGUCCUAACGUUGUUCGGAAUCACUGGGCUUAAAGGGCGCGUAGGCGGGUGAGCAAGUCCGGAGUGAAAUCUUUCGGCUUAACAGGAAAAGUGCUUUGGAUACUGCUCGUCUUGAGGGAGGUAGGGGCAUGUGGAACUUCUGGUGGAGCGGUGAAAUGCGUUGAUAUCAGAAGGAACGCCGGUGGCGAAAGCGACGUGCUGGCCCUCUUCUGACGCUGAGGCGCGAAAGCUAGGGGAGCAAACGGG